rnacentral:rRNA from 1 species
GAUUAGGUAGUUGCUGGGGUAACGUCCCAACAAGCCGAUAAUCGGUACGGGUUGUGAGAGCAAGAGCCCGGAGAUGGAUUCUGAGACACGAAUCCAGGUCCUACGGGGCGCAGCAGGCGCGAAAACUUUACACUGCGCGAAAGCGCGAUAAGGGGACCUCGAGUGCGUGCGCAAUGCGUACGCUUUUCAGAUGCCUAAAAAGCAUCUGGAAUAAGGGCCGGGCAAGACCGGUGCCAGCCGCCGCGGUAACACCGGCGGCUCAAGUGGUGGCCGCUAUUAUUGGGCUUAAAGGGUCCGUAGCCGGACCAGUUAGUCCCUUGGGAAAUCUUACGGCUUAACCGUAAGGCUGCCAAUGGAUACUGCUGGUCUUGGGACCGGGAGAGGUAAGAGGUACUUCAGGGGUAGGAGUGAAAUCCUGUAAUCCUUGAGGGACCGCCAGUGGCGAAGGCGUCUUACUAGAACGGGUCCGACGGUGAGGGACGAAAGCUAGGGGCACGAACCGGAUUAGAUACCCGGGUAGUCCUAGCCGUAAACGAUGCGAGCUAGGUGUCACGUGGAUUGCGAAUCCAUGUGGUGCCGAAGGGAAACCGUGAAGCUCGCCGCCUGGGAAGUACGGCCGCAAGGCUGAAACUUAAAGGAAUUGGCGGGGGAGCAC